UCGAAAACAAAAAACCUAGUCAUGAUGUAAGACUUCCACUGGCUCUUUUGAGUGUGGAAGUUUGCAACAUGUCUAAUUUUUAACCACCUGUGCAUCAUUUGUAAAUCUGUUUGAUUUGAUCAAGAUUAACUUCUUGGAUUGGGAACUGUUUUCGUAGCUGUUCUUGCAUUUUCAGGUUUAUGUUUCUUUGUUCACACUUGUUAUUAGAAUGUUUGUGUAAUUGAAAUAUUUGAAAAUA
rnacentral:misc_RNA from 1 species